CUUUGUUGAUACCUUUACCUUGAACAUUAGUUGGUCAAAGAUCGUUCUUUAUUCUUUCGUCUCAACUUCAAUCACAGAAGUAAACAGACGACUUUAAUACAACAUGUAGCAAAAAAUUUGGGCCUCCACGUUUCUCCUUGUUUUUUGCAUUUAUUUCUUGACUGAUGAUGAAAAAAUUAAGCGAUUUUAAAGUUCAAAAAAUUAUCGCCUGUUCUGAUAUUCUUCAGUUUAGUUUUCAAAAUAGUUAAUUUAAUUUCCAAACACUUCAACUGCAAAAAUUACCGUCAUGGUUUUACAACUUAUUCAUUUUUCCUCGCUAUCUUAUACAGAUUUGCCAAAAUACUGCUUUUCACAACGUUUUCUUGGCAUUAUAACUGAUAAAAACGAUAUAAUUAAGACUGAACCUACCCAUGAAGAUCAAAAAGUCUCAUCGGUUGAAUUUAUUACUGCAAGAAUGCUGCCUCCUUCAAAGAAAGUUGAAGUUUAGUUAAAACUCCUGAUUGGCUGUGCAAAAAGUAUAAAAUUGACCAAGAAGACACAUUCACAAGAAAAGUCGAUCAUGUUCCAGCCACAGCAGAUCGCGAGGCGGUGUCUGUUUGGGAAACGCUUUUUCGAGCAAUAAUUGGCAGUGAGACCGCCAAAAUGUUGAAGAGUAUGGGAAUUGCAGAGAUAACGAAGGAAGAAUUUGAAAAGGAGGAAACUAAAGUUCAAGAAUUCUUGUCAGGUGGGUCCAAUCCGAGUACUCGAGCAGCAAUAUCAAUUGAACAAUUUUUGAAGAGGCAAAUAAGAAGGGAAGAAUUAAAGAUCAAAAGAGAGAUGGAAAGAAAAACGAUAAAAAGAAGAAUCAUGACGAGAAAAACGGCUGAAAGAGAAAAGAGGAAAAACAAAGGCCUCCUGGAAAAUCCUCCUAAAAUCUGGGUAAAGAUCCGAAGACGAUUGUGAUGAUAUAGCAAAAGAAUGGUUGGGUUUUUUCAAAGAAAUGCCAACAUGAAAUUUUUUUUACACUUUUACUGUAAUCUUUUCAUUUGUGAAUGAAGGUCAAAAUGUUUUUAAAACUAUCAAACAAUAGGAGGCUUGAAAUCAUGAAUAAAAUAGUUUUUAAAA